UGGGGAAUAUUGGACAAUGGGCGAAAGCCUGAUCCAGCCAUGCCGCGUGUGUGAAGAAGGUCUUCGGAUUGUAAAGCACUUUAAGUUGGGAGGAAGGGCAUUAACCUAAUACGUUAGUGUUUUGACGUUACCGACAGAAUAAGCACCGGCUAACUCUGUGCCAGCAGCCGCGGUAAUACAGAGGGUGCAAGCGUUAAUCGGAAUUACUGGGCGUAAAGCGCGCGUAGGUGGUUUGUUAAGUUGGAUGUGAAAUCCCCGGGCUCAACCUGGGAACUGCAUUCAAAACUGACUGACUAGAGUGUGGUAGAGGGUGGUGGAAUUUCCUGUGUAGCGGUGAAAUGCGUAGAUAUAGGAAGGAACACCAGUGGCGAAGGCGACCACCUGGACUAAUACUGACACUGAGGUGCGAAAGCGUGGGGAGCAAACA
rnacentral:rRNA from 1 species